UAGCACCGCUCAAGACGAAUGUAAUUGGUUAAAAAAAAUGCCACUUAACCAAAACACGUUUUUCUCCUCCCAUUCCGGAAUGCGGUGUGGACUAGCAAGACCCUCCUCCGCAGGGCUGUGAAGGAAGGUCUGGCAAUGCCAGACUAAGGCUUCACAGUGACACAG